GCAUUGAUGAAGAACGUAGGUGUGAAUUGUAGAAUUCCAUGAACCAUCGAGUCAUUGAAUGCAAGUUGCACCCCAAGCUUGAGAAUUAGGAGCCCCCAGUGUCUAAAUUGUAGUUUGGAAAAGCAUCCUUAAUGGUAAAUUGAGCCAAAGUCCCCUGGGAAAGGGUGUCAGAGAGAGUGAGUCCCAUUGUGCCUAGACCCUACCACACCACGAGGUGUUGUUUACUAGCAUGGUUGUUUGGGAAUGCAACCCUAAUGUGGCAGUAAAUUUCAUCCAAGGUUGAAUACGAGCAAGAGAUUGAUAGCAAACAAGUACUGUGAGGGAAUGAUGAAAAGGACUUUGGAAGAGACUUAAAAAAUGCUUGAAAUUGUCAAGAGGGAAAUGGAUGGGAGUGACGAUGUGCCCUAGUUGGAUGUGGAAUGACAAGAGCUAAUCCAUCAAUCAACUUGGGAAAUAGACCAACGUAGGUCAUGGUAGCAACCCAACCUCGAGCUUUCAAUAUGCCCAUUGAAACAUCAUUACCAUAAUCAUGGAAUGCAGAACACACCAUCUCGAUCGAUGCUUGGUUGGCACUGAUGUGCUCCUUGCAUCAGCCUGCGAGCUCCUUAUUUGGCCUAUCAUGAAACACAAACCAAAGAGUUUGACAUGUAUGUGAAUGAAUGGGCUAGAAAACUCAUAAUGCAUAAAGAAGCUAAUUGGCAGGAUCCCUCAUGGCUACAGGAUCCCUCACAGGUGCACCAUCGAUCGACCUUGAUCUUCUGAGAAGGGUUCAAGUGUGAGCAUGCUUGUCAGGACCCUUAAGAUAGUGAACUAUGCUUAACUGAGGUGAAGCCAAAGGAAACUCUAGUGGAGGCCUACAGCAACACUGACAUGCAAAUCACUCAUUUGAUUUGCUUAUAGGGGUGAAAGACUAAUCAAACCAUAUAGAAGCUAGUUCCUUCUAAAGUUUCCCUCAGGAUAGCUAGAGCCCUUAGCAAAUUCUGUCAUGCAAAGCCAAUGAUUAGAGGCAUCGAAGGUGCAAUGCCCUUGACCUAUUCUCAAACUUUAAAUAGGUAGGAUGGCACGGCUGAUUUAUUGAGUCGCACCAUGUAAUCAAGAGCUCCAUGUGGGCCAUUUUUGUUAAGCAGAACUGGCAAUAUGUGAUAAACCAAAAGUCGAGUUAUAGUGCCUAACUGUGUGCUAACCUAUAACCCAUAAAGGGUGUUGGUCUAUUAAGAUAGCAAAAUGAUGGUCAUGGAAGUCAAAAUCAACUUAGGAAUGUGUAAAACUCACCUGCCGAAUUAGCUAGCCCUAAAAAUGGAUGGCAAUUAAAUGUGUAAGCUAUACUUGUUCAUCGGGGCAAGGGCUAGGCCUUGAUGAGUAGGAAGGCAUCGCGGUUGUUGCAAAACUCGAGUUGCAAGCUUGAAUGGAAUGACCGUUGGUGCAGAUCUUGAUUAUUGUAGCAAAUAUUUAAAUUAGAACUUUGAAGGCUAAAGAGGGGAAAGGUUCCAUGUGAAUGACACUUGCCCAUGGGUUAAUCGAUCCUAAAAGAUGGGUGAACCUAUCUGAUAGCGCAUCCAGUACAAGUUUCAAAAGGGACUUGGGUUAAAUUUCCUAAACUGAUAUGCAUCGACUAACUCUAGAAAUAGCUUAGCCAAAGGUAAGGUCUAAAAACCAGAAGAGCACUACAUGUCAUGUGGUGUCCAUUGCACCCCUAGCGGCCUUUGAAAAUCUAAAAGAUUGAGCAUCGUCUACACCCAGUUGUACUCAUAAUCGCAUCAGGUCUCCAAGGUGAAUAGCCUUUAGUUGAUGGAAUAAUGCAAGCAAGAGAAGCCGACAGAAUGGAUUCGUAAACUUAAUAAAAGGAUUUGCUCUAAGGGUUGGGCAUGGUGGUCCCAUUCCCAAACCCAUUGGCUAUUGGUGCAUUGCACAAACUACUCAUAUGAUGAACGUGGGUCAUCACAUGUUGGUUGGGGUUGAAUUGGGAAAGACUCCCUCAGUGGCCUUCCCUCGGCGAUGAACAGUCAACUUAGAACUAGUACGGACAAGGGAAAUUUGACUAUUUAAUUGAAACAAGGCAUUGUGAUGGUCCCUAGGGAUGUUCAUGUAAUGUGAUUUCUGCCCAGUGCUUUGAAUGUCAAAGUGAAGAAAUUCAAUCAAGUGCGAGUAAAUAGCUAGAGUAACUUUGACUCUCUUAAGAUAGCCAAAUGCCUUGUCAUCUAAUUAGUGACAGGCAUGAAUGGAUUAAUGAGAUUUCCACUAUCCCAGUCUACUAUUCAGCUCAACCAUUGCCAAGGGAACAGGCUUGGUGGAAUCAAUAGGGAAAGAAGACCCUAUUGAACUUGACUCUAGUUUGACUUUAUGAAAUGACUUGAAAGGUGUAAGAUAAGUGGAAGCCCUUGGACAAAAUUGAAAUACCGCUACUUUUAAUGUUAUUUUACUUCAUUCAUGAAUCAGAGGCAGGGCAUGACCUUUUUUUCGGACCUAAGGCCAGCUUCGAUCUGUUGAUUCAAGCAAAAAACAUUGUCAGGUUGGGAGUUUGGCUGGGGGUAGCACAUCUAUUAAAAGAUAACAUAGCCCUCUGAGUGCUAGGUAGAAUCCUUUG
rnacentral:rRNA from 1 species